GAUGAACGCUGGCGGCGUGCUUAACACAUGCAAGUCGAACGGAAAGGCUCCUGCUUGCAGGGGUACUCGAGUGGCGAACGGGUGAGUAACACGUGGGUGAUCUGCCCUGCACUUCGGGAUAAGCCUGGGAAACUGGGUCUAAUACCGGAUAGGACCACAUUUUGGAUGGUGUGGUGGAAAGUUUUUCGGUGUGGGAUGAGCUCGCGGCCUAUCAGCUUGUUGGUGGGGUAAUGGCCUACCAAGGCGUCGACGGGUAGCCGGCCUGAGAGGGUGUACGGCCACAUUGGGACUGAGAUACGGCCCAGACUCCUACGGGAGGCAGCAGUGGGGAAUAUUGCCCAAUGGGCGCAAGCCUGAUGCAGCGACGCCGCGUGGGGGAUGACGGCCUUCGGGUUGUAAACUCCUUUCGCUAGGGACGAAGCGUUUUUGUGACGGUACCUGGAGAAGAAGCACCGGCUAACUACGUG
rnacentral:rRNA from 1 species